CAAACUAAAGAUGGCGACCGGCGCACGGGUGAGUAACACGUAUCCAACCUGCCGAUAACUCGGGGAUAGCCUUUCGAAAGAAAGAUUAAUAUCCGAUAGUAUAUUUUCUCCGCAUGGCGAGAAUAUUAAAGAAUUUCGGUUAUCGAUGGGGAUGCGUUCCAUUAGUUUGUUGGCGGGGUAACGGCCCACCAAGACUACGAUGGAUAGGGGUUCUGAGAGGAAGGUCCCCCACGUUGGAACUGAGACACGGUCCAA
rnacentral:rRNA from 1 species